UAACUACUCCCUUGGUUCUAAAAUUCUUAUCUUAGAUUUAUCUAGAUAUGAAUGUGUCUACUCAAGUUUUAGUAUUUAGACACAUCAAUAUCUAAACAAACCUAAGACAAUAAUUUUAAAAUGGAGGGAUUACUAC
rnacentral:pre_miRNA from 2 species